rnacentral:rRNA from 1 species
AGUGAACGCUGGCGGCGUGCUUAACACAUGCAAGUCGAACGAGAACGGAUUAUAGCUUGCUAUAAUUGUCAGCUAAGUGGCGCACGGGUGAGUAAUGUAUAGGUAAUAUGCCUUUUACUAAGGAAUAACAAAUGGAAACGUUUGCUAAUACCUUAUACUCCUUAUUAACCUAAGUUAAUAAGGGAAAGAUUUAUUGGUAAGAGAUUAGCCUGUAUUGUAUCAGUUAGUUGGUGGGGUAAUGGCUUACCAAGACUAUGACACAUAACUGGUUUGAGAGGAUGAUCAGUCACACGGGAACUGAGACACGGUCCAGACUCCUACGGGAGGCAGCAGUGGGGAAUAUUGCACAAUGGACGGAAGUGUGAUGCAGCAACGCCGCAUGGAGGAUGACACAUUUCGGUGCGUAAACUCCUUUUAUAUGAGAAGAUAAUGACGGUAUUAUAUGAAUAAGCACCGGCUAACUCCGUGCCAGCCGCCGCCGUAA